CGUCCUUUCUCCUGAUCCCGCCUCUCAGCUGUCAGAGAUCUGACCCGGGGAACGGUGCCCCCAGAACUACUGCUCCGGAUUUCGGAGGAGGUGGGAAAGGAGUCCUCUCACUGCCCCACAUUCCACGGCUUUGGAGAUUCCUCGAUGGCACCCGCAUCCCUCUGUGAGCCAGGGUUGUACUAGGAAUGAUCACGGAUCAGGGAGGGGUAUCCUUUUCAUCCGCGGAGGAGAGAGGGACUCCCCGCACCCUACACCUGACUGCGGCGGGGUGUGUUCGUGUGUGUGCGUGUGUGCGCGUUUGUGUGUUCCUGCUCUAUGAGACUUUUCCCUCUUGUACCUUACAAACCACGCUGCCUUCUGGAGAAUGUAAGUCUCAGCGGGUAACUGAUUCACAGAUCCACUGCAAGUCGUUACAGGGUCUCCUCCACCUCAUCCAGUCCGAACGAGCGGCGAAGCCCGGGUUCAGCAGGCAGAGGCCGCGCCUCAGGGCUCUCCCCACCGCGCCCAGUGUCCGCCGCUCUCACCGCCCUUCUGGGCAGGCUCGGAACCACCAGAGCCUGCGGGACGCCCUUCGCCUCUCCCUCCACUCCAGGGACACUUGCAUAACGUGGAUCUAGAGCAACUCCUUCGCGUUGACCGCGGACGCCCCAGGGCCCGGGCAGCGACCCGCAGGUGGAAGCCGGGUGAAAACUGCCAAGGAGGGAGGUCAGCCCAGCGCGUCCUUGAGAACCCCAUGCUCCUGCUAAACAGGACCCCAGGCGGAGGGAGCUUAGCGCAGAAGUCGGCGCUCAGCCAGCUCAGAGCUGGGUCCGCCGCACGCAGCCCCCGCGCCCCGCGCUGGCCCCGCCCCCGCGGCCCAUACCUGACCCACGUCCUCGCUGGCUUCCAGCUGCACGUUGCCGCGGCUCCGGCUUUCGCUGUCGCUCAGCAGAUCGUCCUCUGAGUCCUCGGGCAGCGACGAGGAGCCAGUAGAGGAGAGCGACGAGGUGGAGAGGCGGCGCGGCUGCUGCAGGUGUGAGGAGCCCACCGCCGGGAGCCAGCCACCCUCCGGCUCCGGUGGCCCCGGGCUGGUCGGGGGUACGUCCGGCUCCUCAGCUGUCACAGUCAGCUGCGGGAUCACCGGGGCAGGGGGAGCCCGCGGAAGCCCGUUCGGGACCUGUCCCCCACGCCUUUUGGCCCCGCGGGCCCGGGGCUCCCCUGCGGCGGCGGCGGCAGCGACCGCCGCGCAGCGCGCCUCGAAGAGCAGGCGCAGCUCCCCAACACUCCGGCGCGGAGCCCGCUCCAACCCCGGGCUGCAGGGCCCCGCGCCCCCCGGCCGCGCCAUGCUCGUCGGGCCCCCGGGCAGGGUCAUUUCCCCGCACGCGAGCCUCAGCGAAGCCCACCAGCCCGCGGCGCAGCGAGGACUGGAGACGCUCAGCGCCCCCGGCGCGAGACUGCCCCGAGGCGGAGCCUGCGCGGCUGCCCGCCUGGGCCCCGCCUCGGCCGCGCCCCCCGCCCACUCCUUUCACUUUCAGAGAAAGCGCGGGCCUCCAAGGGCUCCCUGUUGCUCCUCCAGGUGACCGGGAAGCUCAGACCUCGUGGACACAAAGUCAGGGCCUGGCCUUCGCAGCCUCUCUGUCCCCGCUCUCGAAGAGACCGGAGGGGUCGCUCCGGCCCCGGGCCCUACUGCCUUGGAGCUGGUCCUGCUCUCGCUCUCCUACCCAGUCCCUCCGGCUCCUUUCCACGAUCCAUCCUGGGCCAAGGAUUCCUGGUCUCCGGGCUUUCCUUCAGCAUGGAAUGCAAGGCCAUCAGCUUCCUGGGGAAGCCUCACCCCAGGGCGUGCGCCCAAGUGGGGACUCUGUCCUGGGCAAGACCUGAGGCUUCUUCCCCCCCAAGCUCCCCACUUCUCAGCCGGCAGAGAACAAGGUCAGGGGGGCGGGGCCUGAAUCUCGCGGCGAGUCCUGGCGCAGUCCUGGGCAGCAUCCCUUGGCUACUGGCUGGCAGGGGCUGUGCCCUUCUGACUCCUUUUUCUGUGGAAUUCGGAGCGUGGAGUCUGCUGUGUGAUCCUAAGCAAGUCAUUUCACCUCCUUGAACUGUUGAUUCUUUUCUGCAGGGUUGUCGUCUACCUCACAGAAUUGCUAGGAGAAUAAAAUAAAAUGAAAGAUGUAAAAUCUAUACAAUAUGAGAAUAGUUUUAGUGUGGGUGGUAGGAAGAGCCAGUCUCAGGUUCAUCACACUCUAGAUGUGAUCUUUGACGUCUCUUCCCUUUGUAAAUUUAGGGAAACCUCACCUGACCCAGAGUUGUGGCUGUGACAGGGUAAGAGAGCCAUGACGCUGGCUCAUCCGUGGCAUCGUGGUGCAGUAUUUGGCCACUUCACAAGUUAGUGGUCGGCUGAACUGCGGGACUGCUUUAAGUAGAGUUUGUAUUUCACAGCAUUUCUUGUCUUCCCCCAAAAUGCCACCGGGGAGGAUCCCUCCUCAGGUGCCUCGUGCCUCAGGAUUGUUGGGGACCCUGUGGGGCAGGAUGCCCCAGAAGGAUUGCCUCUGAUGCUGAUGAAGGCCAAAAGAAGCUCUCCUUCCCCUCAUCUCCCUUCAGCUAGAUUCAAGGAUGGCCAGGAGGAGACAAAAGGAGGGUUCACAGAGAGAGAAUGGGAAGCUUCAGCAGAGCAAAAAGGAGAAGGCACUUGUCCUAAGCCCAGAAACCAAAGAAGAGCUCUUUGCCAUAUUUUCCAAGUGGAAAGAACACCAGACCAGAUAUGGGAGCAACAACAAAAGAACAAAACUGGAAACCGAGAAAGACGAACACCUGUGGAGCAGAAUCUAUGGGAUGGGGAGGGAUAAGAAGGGCAGAAGACUGCUGCUUUUCACUAUAAAUCAAUACGUCUUAUGGGUCUAUGUGUGCCCACAAACACGUGGAUGUGAAGAGUACGUGUUACUUCAAUAAUUAAAAAAAUUAACUGGAGCAAGAUGUAUAGAAGAUUUCAUAUCAUUUUAUUAAUUAAAAUGGUCUUCAGUGAUCCAAAUAAAGUU